rnacentral:rRNA from 1 species
UACGGAGGGUGCGAGCGUUGUCCGGAAUCACUGGGCGUAAAGGGCGCGUAGGUGGCUUGGCAAGCGUGUGGUGAAAGCCCGGGGCUCAACCCCGGGUCUGCCGUGCGAACUGCUAUGGCUUGAGCACUGUAGAGGCAGGUAGAAUUUCGGGUGUAGCGGUGGAAUGCGUAGAGAUCCGGAAGAAUACCGGUGGCGAAGGCGGCCUGCUGGGCAGUGGCUGACACUGAGGCGCGACAGCGUGGGGAGCAAACAGG